UCACUUUUCAUUCAGGACGAACACCCUAUAUAGGGUCUCGCCGGGUUUGCCCGGCUAUGACGAUAAAGUGUGUCGUGUACUAGACGCAGCGGACCCGGGGGCAGUACCCGGCGGCUCCACCAGAUACCCUGCGAUGCAGGGUGCCUGACGGGGCCGAACCAGGAUCGACGUGUGUUGAAAAGCGAUAUUUUCGUCCGGCCCGAGUAAGCCGUAAAACUGUUCAAAACCUACAAGUGCCAACGAUAACGAGGCUCUUGCUCUUGCUGCGUAAUUGAGGGGCUCACGCCCUGACAUUACUCAAAAAGAACGCGGUUGGACCCACCGGGCAACAGAAGGGAUUCCAGCGGUACGGGGAGCACCGGGCAACAGAAGCUCCCCACU
rnacentral:tmRNA from 1 species